AGUGAACGCUGGCGGUAGGCCUAACACAUGCAAGUCGAACGACAGCACAGUAAGAGCUUGCUCUUACGGGUGGCGAGUGGCGGACGGGUGAGGAAUACAUCGGAAUCUACUUUUUCGUGGGGGAUAACGUAGGGAAACUUACGCUAAUACCGCAUACGACCUACGGGUGAAAGCAGGGGAUCUUCGGACCUUGCGCGAUUGAAUGAGCCGAUGUCGGAUUAGCUAGUUGGCGGGGUAAAGGCCCACCAAGGCGACGAUCCGUAGCUGGUCUGAGAGGAUGAUCAGACACACUGGAACUGAGAAACGGUCCAGACUCCUACGCGAGGCAGCAGUCGGGAAUAUUGGACAAUGGGCGCAAGCCUGAUCCAGCCAUACCGCGUGGGUGAAGAAGGCGUUCGGGUUGUAAAGCCAUUUUGUUGGGAAAGAAAAGCAGCAGGUUUAUACCCCGCGGUUCUGACGGUACCCAAAGAAUAAGCACCGGCUAACUCCGUG
rnacentral:rRNA from 1 species